CCUACGGGCGGCAGCAGUGGGGAAUAUUGGACAAUGGGCGAAAGCCUGAUCCAGCCAUGCCGCGUGUGUGAAGAAGGCCUUCGGGUUGUAAAGCACUUUCAGUGGGGAAGAAAGCCUUGGGGCUAAUACCCUCGAGGAAGGACAUCACCCACAGAAGAAGCACCGGCUAACUCCGUGCCAGCAGCCGCGGUAAUACGGAGGGUGCGAGCGUUAAUCGGAAUUACUGGGCGUAAAGCGCGUGUAGGCGGUCUGAUAAGCCGGUUGUGAAAGCCCCGGGCUCAACCUGGGAACGGCAUCCGGAACUGUCAGGCUAGAGUGCAGGAGAGGAAGGUAGAAUUCCCGGUGUAGCGGUGAAAUGCGUAGAGAUCGGGAGGAAUACCAGUGGCGAAGGCGGCCUUCUGGACUGACACUGACGCUGAGGUGCGAAAGCGUGGGUAGCAAACAGGAUUAGAUACCCUAGUAGUC
rnacentral:rRNA from 1 species